AAGGGCACCACAAGAACGCGUGGAGCAUGUGGCUUAAUUUGACUCAACGCGGGAAAUCUUACCGGGUCCGGACACACUGAGGAUUGACAGAUAUACGCUCAUUUGCAUGUGCUUCGGCGCUGCAUUUGAGCUGAAAGAUGCUAGUUCUUUCAUGAUUAUGUGAUAGGUGGUGCAUGGCCGUUCUUAGUUCGUGGAGUGAUCUGUCUGCUUAAUUGCGUAUCAAUAAUAGAGACCUAGUAUACGCGUGGAUUUCGCGUGGUAGUGACCCCCUGUUCGCGCAGGCGUGUGUCGCACACGCGUGCCGCGCACUGGUCUCAGAUAGCAACGAACGUGACCGUAUUCUAUUGUUGCAGUGAAAUGUACUUUCGAGUACGACCCACUGCUUAGUAUAUGCACGUGCUUCGGUGCGAGCAAUAUACAUUAAACUAUAGAGACCGCUGUUUCUUCUUUAAACCAGAGGAAGGAUACGGCAAUAACAGGUCUGUGAUGCCCUCAGAUGUUCCGGGCUGCACACGUGCUACAAUGAUCAUUGCACUGUGCAUCUAACCCAAUGUGCGUGACGCCGAUGUAUGUACUCCUUGUGGGUACACGCAUUGCUGAGCGACCACGCCGAACCUACUUCGAAAAGUAAAAUUUCUCUGUGGGUAAUCCAUUAGAAGUAAUGACUCGCAUAGACCAUGGCACAACUAUAUGUACGCGCAGGUCUACCCGGCUCGCCUUUGUGUGAGUGCAGUGCGUAGCUUGUUGUUUCGUACGUGCCACUCCGUAUUAAUUCGUACGUGGGGAUAGAUCAUUGUUUAAUUGUUGGUCUCGGUCUUAACUAGGAAUGCCUUGUACGGGUCUCUGGUUCAACAUACCACCCGGAAUACGUCCCUGCCCUUUGUACACACCGCCCGUCGCUCUUACCGAUGGAUUAUGCUAUGAAUCUAUAGGACUGCCAAAGUUGCCUCGGCUGCUUAGUGGAAAUAUAUAUGAAUAGCGUGAUCUAAAGGAAAGAGAAGUCGUAACAAGGCAUCA
rnacentral:rRNA from 1 species